GGGAGAGGAACCAGUUAUCACCUCUCCCCAGCAACAGGACAAAUUAUUGAAAGGGGAGACAGUCGGUCUCCCCCUUCAACAGCAGAGAGAGUGUCAGGGAGAGGAGCUUGUUAUCCCCUCUCCCCAGCGGCUGAAAGUAUGUAUGGGAGAGGAGCUUGUUACCCCCUCUCCCCAGUGGCAGCUUAGCCCACCAAGGGGAGACAGUAAUCUCCACAACAGUACAGAUGGG
rnacentral:lncRNA from 1 species